rnacentral:rRNA from 1 species
AUUGAACGCUGGCGGCAGGCCUAACACAUGCAAGUCGAACGAGUGGCGGACGGGUGAGUAAUGUCUGGGAAACUGCCUGAUGGAGGGGGAUAACUACUGGAAACGGUAGCUAAUACCGCAUACCAUCAGAUGUGCCCAGAUGGGAUUAGCUAGUUGGUGGGGUAACGGCUCACCAAGGCGACGAUCCCUAGCUGGUCUGAGAGUAUGACCAGCAACACUGGAACGUAUACACUGUCCUGACUCCUACGGGAGGCAGCAGUGGUGUAUAUGUCACAAUGGGCUCAAGCUUGAUGCAGCAUUGCCGCGUGGAUGAAGAAGGACUUCGGGUUGUAAAGUACUUGCAGCGGGGAGGCGUGACCCGCAGAAGAAGCACCGGCUAACUCCGUGCCAGCCGCCGCGGUAAUUC